UCUGUGCUAUAUGAAGGUUUGUAUCCUCAAGACAGCCAUAAUCCACACUAAUGUCAUGACACAAGCUACAACCAACAAUACUAGAAAGGUUAUGUCAGCAUCAAGGUCACCUGUCUUACAGGAAUGAAAAACAGAUAAAAAGAGAAAGGAAACUGUGUCCCCUAAGUGUGGUGUUUCUGGAGAUUCACGGCUUUUGAAUUUGUCCUUCCAGCCCUGGUGCCUGACAAGCCUACAACAGCUAAGAUUCAGAAGGAAAACAGCUCAUACACACACAUACACGUGCAAGUCAGGUCAGCGAGGAAGAGACAAGAGAAGAGGCAAGUGAUAUGGCUGAAUGCUCUUGGUCAGCUCAGGCCAGCCUAGAGCUUUAUAACAGCCAAGAAAACACUUAUACAGCACAGCAGAGCACAGUGUGUUUGAAUAGCUGGAGUUUGCAUUUUCAUGUAUUAUAAUGAGGAGCAAAAGUAAAAAGCUGUCAAGAAAAUUCUUCCCUGGCAACUUAAAUAUGCUUUCCCACACUUGAGUGAUCUGAGAGUACAUGCACACAUUGUAAUCAGCUUUACAUUAAUAACAAUGAAAUGUCCAUUCCUAUGAAGGAAAGUCAUGAGGGGGGUUUUUAGAUAAAUUUGGGACACCUUGCAAAGAUAACUUGGAAGUCAGCUUGACAAUAUCUAAGGGACAUAUUUCAAGAGUAAUACUCUCUUGAAGUUUUCCUGGAAUACUUAUUGCUCAGCGGACAGGGUCAGUCUCCAGAGGAAAGGAAGAAGUAACACCUCACAAAAUUCCUUUAUCGCUUCUCUCCAGCAGACCACAGAUGGCUGUUUCAUCUCCUGUGUUGUUUAAUGCUAAUGGCUGCAGUGAGUUUACAGGUGUCUGAUCCAACUCUGCAGCUGCAGUGCUGAAUUGGUACCCAUGGAAGCACUACCUCAAGAUUAAGAGAAAAUUCUGCAUCAGAACUGAGCAUUUUUGGACAACAGCAGCUAGAGCAGAAUGAUGAUUUUGAAGGAAACGAUGAUAUGUUAUUUUAAGGGAAAAGAAUAACAUAUAUUAGCCUCAGUAAAAUCACGUGAAGAAAAUUCAUGAGUCACCAAGAAAUGUCAUCACUGGAUAGUGGUAUCUGGAAAAGUCCUCCUGAAUUACUUGUCCUAACACAGCCAAAGUUUAUUGGGUGCUUGACUGAUAAGUAAAAUAGACAUUUCUUGUCUGAGGGAGAAGAAUGUGGACAUGGGAGAAGUAGAAGACAAACAAAGGCUGAAAGUGGAGGAAGGGAAGCCAAGGACAUUCCUUUGGCUAGUUAAUUUUCCAAAGUAUGCUUCAUAAAGGUUCUAACUCACAUGAACGUAUGCAUUAUGGGUUAGCAUAACCAUUUCACAGUGUAACUUAAAAUAUCCCACUGGAUGCCGAUUAAGAUGUUGUGUCUGAGCCUGUUGACUUUCUGCUGUAAUUUUGCAGCAAAACACGGUGAAAGGGUAGAUAGGCUUAUCUGCACAUCUGUUGCUAGAACCCAAUACCUUUGCUUUACAGUUAUGAGUAAGAAUCUCACCUACUUAAAAGUCUGCUUGGGAAAUGAUUAGAACGGAAUGUCAACCAUAGGGCAUAGGACUCUCACAGGAACGUGUGUAUCAGCUAAAGAAUUGGCUUUAUAAGAUGGAGGAGGUGAACUGAAGCUGUUACCAGCCUGUGAGAAGAGAGGUACCAACAGCCUCCCAGUGCUUGAGACCUCUCCUCUUCUAUUGUCUUCUUUUCCUUUAAUUGUAUGGAUUAAAAAAAAAAAAAAAAAAAAAAAAAGUAAUCCCGAUAUCUCUUGCUGGUUUGGUAAUAUCCUCAUUUUACAGAGGCACCAGCUUUCCUCUCUACCUAAUAUCACAAAAUGGAGAAAAGUCAGUAAGUUCAGGCAUGCUUUUUAUCAGAUCUAGUGCCUCAGCCAUCUGCCUCAACAGUUCCUGAAACUGCUGAUAGUUGUCUGGCAGAGAUUAUAACCACUGUCACUAAAUCCUGAGAAGACAUUGAACAAGACAGGCUAAUAUUAAUUUAUUUACAUAUCCUUACCCUUGUAAUAUAUCUCUAUCUAGCAGCUCAGAAUGGCUUAAAUUGGGGUUAUGGUUCUAGUUCUGCAGGGGAAAUGGCACAAGAAGAUAACUUGAUUUUGCAGGAGAAGAACAAUAAUAGCACUCUCAAUUUUCAGCUAACAGACUGACUUAACUUCACACAUCCACAGAAGACAACUGUGAAAACAGGCAGAAUUAGAGACACAGGGCAGGAGAAAACAUUGUGGUAUAAAUCUUUUACAGCCAGAAUGGAAAUUUAGACCACGUCAGGAAUUGCAACACUUAAUAUCUGUCACGUGGGCUCUGCAGGAGACUCAAUAGGGCUGCAUUAAAUUUACCUCUCAGCAUAUAGUAGGAGUUGGAUUCCCAAGAGCAGCAUUCAAGUGAGUGAAGGGCUGAUCAGUGAGUCUCACAGAGGUAGCCAGUGGGGAACAGGGAGCAGAACAGUUUUUCUCUGAGACUUAAGUAUUUGCAUCUGGCCUCGAGCUACAGCCCAGGAGCUUUCCUGGUUGUAGAUAGCAAUUGCCAUUCCUUCUGGGUGAGACCAAAUGAUUUCUUUAAAAGCAAGUCGUGUCAUGAAACAGUAGCGAUACCUGUUUCCCAUGGAUGCAUGCUGAUUUUGCACUACACCUCUUUACAAUGACAAUUUGUUUCCCACAAGUCCUACCAGCUAAUAGGCUGUAUGAGCUAAGGCAUGUUCUGACACCUUGUAUCUCUUGCAAACCCUACAACAGUUCUCUCACCUGGACAUGAAUUUGGACCUCUCCCUUCUACCCUGAUGCUUAUUUUUCCAGAAACUCUGCCCCUUUUUCAGUUUCACUGAAUUUGGACAAUGAGUUUAAAAGUUAUGUGAGUUGAGGGGGUGGGUGGGGAAGAUUUACAGAAAAGAAUAACCUUAUGGCCCAUUACACUUGGUGUUUUU